UACGUAGGGCGCAAGCGUUAUCCGGAAUUAUUGGGCGUAAAGAGCUCGUAGGCGGUCUGUCGCGUCUGCUGUGAAAACCCGGGGCUCAACCCCGGGCCUGCAGUCGAUACGGGCAGACUAGAGUGCGGUAGGGGAGACUGGAAUUCCUGGUGUAGCGGUGAAAUGCGCAGAUAUCAGGAGGAACACCGGUGGCGAAGGCGGGUCUCUGGGCCGUAACUGACGCUGAGACACGAAAGCGUGGGUAGCAAACAGG
rnacentral:rRNA from 1 species